CCGCGCGUGCCCGGCUCGGGGCUCACAACGCCUGCGCGGCUGGCUUACCCAGCCCAUUCGGCAGUUAGAGGCGCGGCCUGGCGGCCGGCCACACUUUUGGCUUCGGGUUCUCGCCCCCCAGCACGACACCGCCCUUGGGAAUAGCUGGUGCCUCUAGUCCCGCAGCCUCCACCUGCGGGAGGGAGCUCCGGUCCGGGGCUCCUGUAGGCGGCCCCUAGGCCUAGCCCCGGCGGCUUCCCGAUUCCUCUCAGCAAGAGACAUAAGGCGGGCAGUCCCCCAGCACCGGUGGAGAGGACAGAGCAGGGUCGGCUCCAGCCGCCCAGAGGCUGCAAGGCCGCCCCCCCUGCUGCUCAUUCCUUACUGCACAGCUACAGGAUGCAGAGAUUCCCACUGCCUGGCAGUGCGAAGUAGCCCCUAUGGACUCUAGGCUUGAACAAGAAAGGGGACCCCACCGUGCCAGGACCUGUAGGAGUAGAGGAGGGCAAGCCCUACCUUCAAGAACUUAGUUUAAAGCAAGAAGCCAGAAAGAAAUGGAACAGCUAGUGAAACUCUUCUGAGGGUGCUGUCAGCUCCAGGAGCAGCAAGUUCAAUUGCUUUGUCCAUGUGAAGUGGUUUCAACUUGGAUUCUCCAUUUCAAAUCUUAGAUUGUAAGGGUAGAGACUAUACUUCUGUACAGCACCUACUGUAUCAGAGGCCAUAUCUGCCACCAUAACAAAACUGAUGGGCCUUUGUUGGUACAGCACACAAGAUUAUAUUCACAUUCUCCAAACGUAUAGUGCUAUCACAUUCAUAUCAGUGGAAAAGUGGCCCUUUGGUCUAAAGCAGUGAUUAGGAGAACUUGGGAUUCACUUCAUAGACCUCGCUCUGCCUCCCUGGAUGACUUAGCCUACAAGUUUUCCAGAGCCCAGAGUUUCAUGUGAAUUGGAAAACUGCAUCGCAAAGGCCAGCACAUGAAUACAUACAAUUCUAGAGCUUGUUCCAUGGACUCACAAUAGACAAGGUGAGUGGGGUAAUAUCCUGGGUCCAACAUGUCUGCAAAUAACAAUGGACUGAAAUAGACAUUCAGGUAUUUGGGAAUUGAUAGCCCUAGUGUGCUGCAAUAAAUUGAAUUUAUAGAUUUUACUCUUAAACUUGUCUUAGCUACAGGUAGAGGUUUUCUGGGUGCGAAGGUUAUUGCAAACCAGCCAGCCAAAGAAUGAAAUUAUCAGAGAUACAUGAUAUUGCUUGUAUUAUUACCAGAUGCUAUACAAAGUAUGUGGCUUAGAGCUAAAAAGACUAUAUACUUUAACCCUUUCCCUACUGUUCCCUCACUGCAUCUGCUCUACUAUCCAGAAUUUUCAUCAAAGUCUUAAAGAAUGUUAUCUGAUAAAAAACAAACAUGCAUAUGCAAAUUCACAACUUGCAUCAAGCUGGGAUGUAUAGAAUUUGGAGCUAGUGGCCAUUACACCAUGUAAACUGACACUGUAUUUGCAGAACUGCAACUGAUUACAUGUAAUGAUCAUACCUUCAGAGAGCUUCCUUCACCAUUCACUAGCACAAGUACCAAAAAUAAGCAACUUAAGCAAAGGUGUCCACAGUAACAACUCCUCCCUCUUUACAGGGCACAUAAUGAGAUAUCCCCAUAAUUUUGGAAAACACUGCUGCUGUUGGCCGUGCUAUUGGUUUAGCAACAAAACAUUUAGCAUGGCCAAUACAUGUAUUCAAUACAGAAUAUUUUCAAAAUAUAAACAAUAUGUUGACCAGUUUAAAGACAAAGAUUAUAAAAUAAAAUAGGUUAAAGAAAAGUAGCAAUAACUGAUGGUAAAUAUCAUUCAUACAUAUACUUGGUUUAUACAAAUAAAUCAUUCAAUAGAGGACCAUCUUGGGCAGUUUAUCAUAGGUAGAUUCUCAAACAUUUUGAUUAAAGUUUGCUUUCUUGUAAUUAUAAAUCUGCAUUUCCCUGUGCUCCAGCCUUGAAAUCUUAAAGGUGCCACAGGACUCUCUGUUGCUCUCUUUUAGAGAUUCACCAGAUAGCACAACCAGCCCAAGAUCAGCAAACUGCAUUGCUUGUACACCCUACAGUUAAAUAUCUUUCAAACCAAGUUCAGCUCUGAGUCUGUUAGCAAGUUAUAGAAUAG